ACAAAAGCAAAUAUGGCACAAAUACAAGCAAAUGCAAGGGUGAGCUAAUUAUAUAAAAAGCACGCAAUUAUAUCAACAUAUACUUGAUUUUAACUCAAGUAAAGUAUAUACAAGCAAGGCAAUAUAUACAUAACACAGAUCCUAGCAUGUUAUCUUCUAGACUUGACUCGUCUAACUUUUAGAAUGAUAGACAAGUUAUGGCGGGUCAUGCACCUGUGGUGGCUUGUGAUACUUGGGCUCCCCCACCUUGCCACACUCACGAGGUUAGUCCGUUCCCUGCCCUGAAGCAUACUGAAAGCCUCCAAGACUAAGACCUCCUGCUACUCCUUACCACAUGAUUUAAUCCUCUCUACAUAAGAAGAAUGGCCAUUGGAGCGUCAGGAAGAUCCCCA
rnacentral:lncRNA from 1 species